rnacentral:rRNA from 1 species
GGACUACAAGGGUAUCUAAUCCUGUUCGCUCCCCACGCUUUCGCUCCUCAGCGUCAGAACAGGCCCAGAGAACCGCCUUCGCCACCGGUGUUCCUCCCGAUAUCUGCGCAUUUCACCGCUACACCGGGAAUUCCGUUCUCCCCUACCUGCCUCAAGUCCGCCCGUAUCCACCGCAGACCCACGGUUGAGCCAUGGGCUUUCACGACGGACGCAACAGACCACCUACGAGCUCUUUACGCCCAAUGAUUCCGGACAACGCUCGCGCCCUACGUAUUACCGCGGCUGCUGGCAC